rnacentral:lncRNA from 1 species
UGGCAAUGGUUGUACCUGUGGAUAUGAGCCUUGGACAUCUGGUUGCGGCAGUGGCUGCGGGUUUGGUCCCGGUAGUGGCUGUGGCAGAGGCUGCGCGAUUGGGCCCGGCAGUGGUUGUGGCAGAGGUUGUGGUAAUGGCGGUGGCUGUAUGUUUGGAUCCGGCAGAGGCUGUGGUAAUGGCUGUGGCUGUGGGUUUGGGUCCGGAAGAGGCUGAGGUAAUGGUUGUGGCUGCGGGUUUGGGCCCGGCAGUGGUUGCGGUAAUGGUUGCGGGUUUGGGUCUGGUUUAGGCAAAGGUUGUGGAUUAGGGUCCGGCU